UACGAAGGGGGCUAGCGUUGCUCGGAAUUACUGGGCGUAAAGGGAGCGUAGGCGGACAUUUAAGUCAGAGGUGAAAUCCCGGAGCUUAACUUCGGAACUGCCUUUGAUACUGGGUGUCUUGAGUGUGAGAGAGGUAUGUGGAACUCCGAGUGUAGAGGUGAAAUUCGUAGAUAAUUCGGAAGAACACCAGUGGCGAAGGCGACAUACUGGCUCAUUACUGACGCUGAGGCUCGAAAGCGUGGGGAGCAAACAGG
rnacentral:rRNA from 1 species